UCCCUCCUUCCCGUGGAACUAAGCCGGAGACGUGCGGCUGGGCUCGCAGGAAUCCCUUUAGAUGUCUUUUUUAUCCAUGAGACUUAACACUUUAAUUCGUUGUCUAUCAUCGCUUUGCCUGUCUUUAGAGCCCUCCCUGUUCAAGUGUCCUCCUCCAGAAACCUCCCUCCCCAAGAAGCAGGUACAAGACUCUUGGUCACUGGCCUCAACCCUCUAGACAUCAGGAGUGGCAAAGCCUCACAGAACACAGCAUCCCCGGAUGACGAACAGCUCUUUCUAUCAUGGCCUGUGCACCCUGGAGGAGAAAGAAUCAACUCCUGAGAACCAGCUUGUCCCUUAAGUAAAAAGGACUUCUACCAUCUCAUAGAACCAACACUGAGAGGAUGAUAACCAGACCACACUUGCCCAGGUCACAGAAAGAAUUUUGAAAGCGCCUCGAGGAUGGGAAGACAAGCCAUCAUGGAGGAUAGACUGUGAACUGGCUGAACUCUUCUGCCUUAGGGGAUCUUCCAAACAGUCGUGAGCUUUAGGAGUGCCAGAAAGUGAUGUUGGUCACUUACCUGGAAGGCAGGGCACAUUUGAAAGCAAGCAUCAGGCCAGUUACUCAAUCCUAGCUCCUUAAAUCUGCAGGAAAAGGUUGUCAUCAUGAUAGGAAUGAGACCAAGUUCUACUUUUGUAUCAAUGUAUUUUUAUAAUAAAGCUUAUUGUAAAGCAAGUCUCCUAAGUGCGUUUCAGUUUAGCUUGAUCUCACUUUUCUCUCUCUACAACUCUAUAUCAUCUUAGGUAUGAUCUGUUUGUUUUCAAAUUAUGUCCUUCAGCCUCUCCUUUCAGUAGGAAACAGCCUGCAGUGUGAACCACCAACCCAGCUUAGGAAAUUAUUUAUAAGUAGACAUAUUGUACAACAAUCAAAGCUGAAAUUAUUGUUUAUGUACUUUUGUCUAGUUAUUCACUUGUUUGUAACAAUUGUAGUUGGUUUACCAAUAAAAAUCUCAAGAUAUCAAACACUUAAAAAUCGUCUUAUAAACUCCAUGACUGAGCCUAAAUGGAGUCACAGUCGUAUGUCUGCAUUAUAUU